ensembl:lncRNA
CUGCUUCAGACUCUGGAGAUAUGCAGGCUCCUAUCAAUCUGAUGCCAGAAUAUCAUUGUUUGAGAGCUGAAUAUGUAAAGAAGAUUAGAAGGAUGUGAAGAAAAUCCUUUUUAUAAAGAGAGGGAAGAGGAAAGAGAGGCAUCUUUUUCUGUACAGCUUCCUUUUUGAAAGCGCUGACUACUAAUAUGAAGUACACUCCAAUGUGAAGGAAGAGAAUGGGUGCCGAAUAACUGACUGCUGCCUGAGUACAGAGUGACUGCAUGAAGCAGUGCUGCUUUCUGGGUCUACCACUCACACCAGUUGCUGACAAAAGACAUUAGGAGCCCCCCGAUUUUAAUCUAGCAAGCUGGGUAUAUACAGUUCUGGAAACUAUUCUGUUUUUUAAUAACAUUUGUUUGAAGUUGAAUUAUGAUGAGGCUGCCGUAUUGGUUUGAAAAGAGCUGACAUUUACCUGAGAGGCUGCAGCAAGCUGAGUACUGCAUAAUAGAUGAGGAAAAGCUUUCCUUUCCUCAGACAGUCUGAAGCAUACUGGCUAGACAUAAAGUGCACAGGAACAGCAUCACACUGGAAAUGUUUCAUCUUGCUUUUUUUCUUUACUUUAUCUAACAUACAUGUAUAUAUAUAUGUGUGUAUGUGUGUGGGUAUAUAUGAGCCCACACAGUAAACAGCUGUUCAGAGCAUGUUUUUGCUGCUAAUCUCAUCUAAGCUUUCCUUGCUGAUCUGUAGCUCUUCCCAAGGAUUUGUGACAUACUUAGUGCAAAUUCAUGAAAACCCAGUCUAAAGAAGUGUUAUUUAUUGUCUUUCUCACUGUAUUUAUAACCAGGUCUUUUCAAAGCUUUGUUCACUUUGUUUGGUGAGGGCUUUACUAUGCAAUAAGGAAUGAAGCAGCUAGAAUGGACGCAGUGCUCGAGCUGUGAAGUUAUGACAUGUUUAUAUCUUCACAAACUUUGGAAAGCAAUCCUUGAAGGACAAGUUUAGUAGUGCCCAUGGUUUCAUCCUGUGACUCUACAUUUAAGCAGUACAUGAUUUAUUUGCCUUUCUAUGUAGGAAGACAGCAGUACUCCAUACCUGGCUUUUCAGCCCUCUACAUUUCUGAUUUUUUUCCUCUGCAAUACCUGUCUUCUUGUUUUUUUUGUUAAGAGCAUUCCUUGACUGCCUGGCCCACCUGCUUGGAAAAUGCAUUCAGGUGAGAUGUACGUACAGAAGGGCAGGAUGGGUUUCUGAUUCCUACAGAGCAGACAAUGAGGAAGCAAGGAGCAAUAGCAGUUCUUCUGAGAUUAUGACUGAGAGCGGACACUGGUCAAGUUUUUAAGAAAGUUCUUGCUAUCAACAUUUCAGACACUCUGAAAGCAUGUUUCCUGACAAUACUUACUGCAGCUGUUGUCUCAAUCAAUAAUGAAAUAAUGGUGUGAGCACAAAAAAGCUGUUCCUUUUUCAGCAUACAAAACCAAGAAAGCUUUUCAUUGUUAAAACCAUGAGUUUGCUGAGCUCUGGCGUUGCAUUUUAAUGAUCUCAGUAAUAUGUUCCAUUUGUCUCUGUGCCUAUGAAGAUACU